GUAAGAAGAAAUGGAGGAAUGGAUAAGGAUUCAGACACUCCUUUUGCCAACAACCCCACUAAUGUUGAAUUAUCCACACCUGUUGAGGUUGAAUGGGAUACGUCCAGAAAUGGUUUUGAGGAAGGCAUAAUGUUUGAAUAUGAUGAUUUCCAGUAUGAUGAUAUGGAGUUUGAACCUCAGACCUAUUUCUCUUUCAAUGAAUUACUUGCAUCUGAUGAUUGUGGCCCUCCUGAUGGAUCUGCUAAUUUAACAGACAAUGUUGACACAUCGUUGGGGUUUCCAUCAGAUGGACUUUCUGAUAUGUCUUACUUUCAGCAUGAGCAUGCACUUAGCAUAGAUUCUGC
rnacentral:misc_RNA from 1 species